CGGGGUGCAGCAGGCGCGAAAACUUUACAAUGCGGGAAACCGUGAUAAGGGGACACCGAGUGCCAGCAUCAUAUGCUGGCUGUCCGGGUGUGUAAAAUACACCCGUUAGCAAGGGCCGGGCAAGACCGGUGCCAGCCGCCGCGGUAACACCGGCGGCCCGAGUGGUGAUCGUGAUUAUUGGGUCUAAAGGGUCCGUAGCCGGUUUGGUCAGUCCUCCGGGAAAUCUGACGGCUCAACCGUUAGGCUUUCGGGGGAUACUGCCAGGCUUGGAACCGGGAGAGGUAAGAGGUACUACAGGGGUAGGAGUGAAAUCUUGUAAUCCCUGUGAGACCACCUGUGGCGAAGGCGUCUUACCAGAACGGGUUCGACGGUGAGGGACGAAAGCUGGGGGCACGAACCGGAUUAGAUACCCGGGUAGUCCCAGCCGUAAACGAUGCUCGCUAGGUGUCAGGCAUGGCGCGACCGUGUCUGGUGCCGCAGGGAAGCCGUGAAGCGAGCCACCUGGGAAGUACGGCCGCAAGGCUGAAACUUAAAGGAAUUGGCGG
rnacentral:rRNA from 1 species